rnacentral:rRNA from 1 species
AGGGUGAACGCUGGCGGCGUGCUUAAGACAUGCAAGUCGAACGGAUGCUUUCGGGCAUCAGUGGCGCACGGGUGAGUAACGCGUAACUGACCUACCUCCAAGUUCAGCAUAACGUCUCGAAAGAGACGCUAAUUCUGAAUGUGAUCCCGGAUCGUGUUCCGUGAUUAAAGAACUUCGCUUGGAGAUGGGGUUGCGUUCCAUCAGCUAGUUGGUAGGGUAAAGGCCUACCAAGGCGACGACGGA